rnacentral:rRNA from 3 species
GGGGAAUUUUCCGCAAUGGGCGAAAGCCUGACGGAGCAAUACCGCGUGAGGGAGGACGGCUUUUGGGUUGUAAACCUCUUUUAUCAGGGAAGAAUCGAUGACGGUACCUGAUGAAUCAGCAUCGGCUAACUCCGUGCCAGCAGCCGCGGUAAUACGGAGGAUGCAAGCGUUAUCCGGAAUUAUUGGGCGUAAAGCGUCCGUAGGUGGUUUAUCAAGUCUGCUGUCAAAGCGUGCGGCUUAACCGCAUAAGGGCAGUGGAAACUGAUGAACUAGAGUGCGAUAGGGGUAACAGGAAUUCCCAGUGUAGCGGUGAAAUGCGUAGAUAUUGGGAAGAACACCAGCGGCGAAAGCGUGUUACUGGGUCUGCACUGACACUGAGGGACGAAAGCUAGGGGAGCGAAAGGGAUUAGAUACCCCUGUAGUCCUAGCCGUAAACGAUGACAACUAGGCGUGGUUCGUAUCGACCCGAGCCGUGCCGUAGCCAACGCGUUAAGUUGUCCGCCUGGGGAGUACGCACGCAAGUGUGAAACUCAAAGGAAUUGACGGGGGCCCGCACAAGCGGUGGAGUAUGUGGUUUAAUUCGAUGCAACGCGAAGAACCUUACCAAGGCUUGACAUCCUCGGAACCCUGAUGAAAGUUAGGGGUGCCUUCGGGAGCCGAGAGACAGGUGGUGCAUGGCUGUCGUCAGCUCGUGUCGUGAGAUGUUGGGUUAAGUCCCGCAACGAGCGCAACCCACGUUUUUAGUUGCCAGCAUUCAGUUGGGCACUCUAGAGAGACUGCCGGUGACAAACCGGAGGAAGGUGUGGAUGACGUCAAGUCAGCAUGCCCCAUACGCCUUGGGCUACACACGUACUACAAUGCGUCGGACAAAGAGCAGCCAGCCAGCGAUGGUGAGCCAAUCUCAUAAACCGGCGCUCAGUUCAGAUUGCAGGCUGCAACUCGCCUGCAUGAAGGCGGAAUCGCUAGUAAUCGCAGGUCAGCAUACUGCGGUGAAUACGUUCCCGGGCCUUGUACACACCGCCCGUCACACCAUGGGAGUUGGUCACGCCCGAAGUCGUUACUCUAACUGCUUGCAGAGGAGGACGCCGAAGGUGGGGCUGAUGACUGGGGUGAAGUCGUAACAAGGUAGCCGUACCGGAAGGUGUGGCUGGAUCACCUCCU